GACGAACGCUGGCGGCGUGGAUUAGGCAUGCAAGUCGAACGGUAUCAUCCUUUCGGGGGUGAGAGAGUGGCGAACUGGUGAGUAACACGUAGGUUAUCUACCCUCAAGACGGGGACAACCCAGGGAAACUUGGGCUAAUACCGGAUGUGAGCAACUUUUAGUUGUUUGAAAGGUGGCGUAAGCUGUCGCUUGGGGAUGAGCCUGCGUCCUAUUAGUUAGUUGGUGAGGUAACGGCUCACCUAGGCAAUGAUAGGUAGGCGGCCUUAACGGGUGGUCGCCCACACUGGGAUUGAGAUACGGCCCAGACUCCUACGGGAGGCAGCAGUCGAGAAUAGUCUACAAUGGUCGGAAGACUGAUAGUGCGACGCCGCGUGAACGAUGAAUCCCUUCGGGUGUAAAGUUCUUUUAUAUGUGAGCAGUGCUUCUUAUAUUAACAGUAUGGGGAGAGAGAUAUUAGCAUAUGAAUAAAGCAACGGCUAACUCCGUGCCAGCAGCCGCGGUAAAAAC
rnacentral:rRNA from 1 species